AAUAAAUUACCCAUUACAGGUGUUCCAAUAUAUUCAUUGGGACGAAAAAGGGAAUCCCAACUCCAACGAAUUUCUGACAAUAAUUAAUACUUAAUUCCUUAUAUCAGAAAUUCGGAGAAAAGGGAACGGUACCGCCGCUGUAGUUGGUGACGAACGUUGCAGAAACCACUGGAAAGUCAUUUAAACGGCUUGAACAGCUCAAACGGUUUAAACGGCUUCUCGGGAAGGUGCAACCAGUAGGAUGAUCCGCUAGUCAGAAGACCUGCCUGUAAUGAUUGCUGAAA
rnacentral:ncRNA from 2 species